GCCCUACUGGCGCAAUGGCUAGCGUGUGUGACUUCUAAAAGAAACAAAAAACGUCUUUUAAAAGCUAUCACAAGGUUGCGAGUUCGAGUCUCGCGUGGGGUU